rnacentral:rRNA from 1 species
AACGAACGCUGGCGGCAUGCCUAACACAUGCAAGUCGAACGAGACCUUCGGGUCUAGUGGCGCACGGGUGCGUAACGCGUGGGAACCUGCCCUUAGGUUCGGAAUAACUCCCCGAAAGAGGUGCUAAUACCGGAUAAUGUCUUCGGACCAAAGAUUUAUCGCCUUUGGAUGGGCCCGCGUUGGAUUAGCUAGUUGGUAGGGUAAAAGCCUACCAAGGCGACGAUCCAUAGCUGGUCGGAGAGGAUGAUCAGCCACACUGGGACUGAGACACGGCCCAGACUCCUACGGGAGGCAGCAGUGGGGAAUAUUGGACAAUGGGCGAAAGCCUGAUCCAGCAAUGCCGCGUGAGUGAUGAAGGCCUUAGGGUUGUAAAGCUCUUUUACCCGGGAUGAUAAUGACAGUACCGGGAGAAUAAGCUCCGGCUAACUCCGUG